GAUGAACGCUGGCGGCGUGCCUAACACAUGCAAGUCGAGCGGACGGACGAGACGCUUUCCUCUCUGAUGUUACCGGCGGAUGGGUGAGUAACACGUGGCUAACCUACCUAUGAUACUGCGCUAACUUCGGGAAUCCUACCCUAAUACCGGCCACUAUUUUGAACCGCAUGGUUCAAAAGUGAAAGACGGUCUUGCUGUCACUUAUAGAUGGAUCCGUGCUGCAUUAGCUAGUUGCUAGGGUAACGGCUUACCAAGGCCACGAUGCAUAGCCGACCUGAGAGAGUGAUCGGCCACACUGGAACGGGGACACGGUCCAGACUCCUGAGGGAGGCAGCAGUAGGGAAUGUGCGGCAAUAGGCGAAAGCCUGACGGAGCGACGCCGCGUGAGUGAUGAAGGUCUUCCGAUCGUAAAGCUGUGUUAUUAGGGAAGAACAUAUGUGUAAGGAACUGUGCACAUCUUGACGGUACCUAAAGAGAAAGCGACGGCUAACUACGUG
rnacentral:rRNA from 1 species